GUGAGCCAUGGAAUGGAGGUCCUUCCUCUGUGGCAUGCCGCGAGGAUGCAGUUCACUGCCGAUGGAGAACAGGACUUCUCUGAACCUGACCAAGUCUGCUACGUGUGCACUACUAGGCAAGUUGGUGACUCUGGUUUCUCAUUAUCAUCAUCCGGUGUACAAUGGCCGCGAUGGGCGUACAGAACACCUCUGGUCCUCGCCGUCUCCACCAACGUCAUGCUUCUAGCGGCUGCCUGUCCUGCUUGAUACUCCCAGGAAUCUAUGCACCAGGGCCAUCUUUGGGAUGGCUGGGGUGCGGGAUGUGAUGGCGCCGUGCGGGAUGAAGGAGGACAAGCGGUGGCUGUCUGACCAGGUUGAAGCAAGACACGUGGCAAGUUAGCGACUCUGGUUUGUCAUCAUCAUCAUCAUCAUCAUC